AAUAAGCUCAGCCGCAUCGGCAUUCGUCAUGCUGAGCUCAUAGCUCGAGCGCUACUCGACCAUCCCAUGUUGUCAACCUCUCCUGUCUCCUCCCCUCAUUCUUCCCCGAUCUGGCCUUCCUCCUCCCUUUCUCUGUCUUUGGGGUGAAUCAAUCGUCAUAUUCCUUAGAGUAAGCGAUCUGAACUCCCUCUCUGAAUCAAAUCUCCUCUCUCUCGAUCUAUUGGUUUUUUCCUCAGUGAUUUCUGGACGCAGCGGUUUAUCGAUCUCUUCCUGGCCUUGUGUGUUUGGUGGUCUGGACUCUGGUGGGUGGGUUGUCACGUCAAGAAAGCAAGAAAAAGGAACGAGUCGAGGGCGCAAAGCGGGAAUCGGUCGAUAAACCUCUGCAUCCGGCUCUCACAUCCCCCGCACUGCCAACGCCCAAUCUCCCUUCUAUCCUUUCUUUUGUUAUUAGGGCUUCGUUUCUUGUGGCCUUCCUCUGGAAUCUAGUUUGGUGAUCUCGUCUUUCCUUGUCGAAAUAAAACAAGUUUGGGUUGGUCAAGCUAGAUCGAUCGGCUGAUUGAUUGAUUACCAUUCAGAUCAUCAAGUACAUAAACGAAAACUAUUCGGCUGACAUGAUUUGGGUACAGAUACAACUCCGAUAACAUUGGAUCUGACAUCUCGAGUGGUGAAAGGCUAUAAUUUAUAAGAAGAUGGAUGGUACGAAUGCUUAUUCGCAAGUUAAUGUUAUGGGUAAGAUGUUUGCGGUGUAUGAUUACAGAUUCAAAAGGGUCAAGAAUGCCAUGGUAAACUUCUGUCUAGUAUCAUGGUAUGUUGUCCUGUUUGGAAAUUCAUGUUCUCUUAAGUCCUUAUCGAGAAGAAAAAAAAAGAGAGAGAGAUUUUGAUUUUUUUUCCUUCUUAUUUUUCUUGUUACUUUUUGUUUUGUUUGUUUGUCUGUCAUCCAUGAUCGGCAAGAGUAAGGGAUCUCCUUGACAAAAUGAUUUUCUGUCAUGUUUUUUUUUUAUGGUGACAUAUCUACUGUGUCUGCUGGGUAUAGAUGCAAUGUACCUAAUCAAUUGGUGGUUCAGGUGAUUCAGAGAUGCGGCAUAUUUAUGACUGCUACUUACUGUCAUUGUUUCUUCCAAUGAAUUUAUUAUAAAAUGUGAGCUGAUUUGGACAGGUAUGACAAUUGUGGAUCAUUAUGUUCUCAAUCGAAACAUCUUUUGCAAUUUGGGAAUUGAAGAACUCAACCACAUUAUUUCCUAGAGUUCCUUCAUACCAUUAGACUGCUAGCCAGAUCUCAUAUUUAUAGAUUUAUACUACUUGGUACAUAAGCAUAUUUAGUUAGUCUUACGCUUUGUAUUUGGGUUCACCUUAUUAUUAUCUUAUUAGCUCAACAUGAUUGACAUAGGUAUAAUCAUCACCGGACUAUAUUGGAUAAGUGCUAGAGAUGAAGCCCCUAAAACCAUACAUAACAACAUUCAGGGAUGCAGAGUAGCAGGGAUCUGUUGCUUCACACAUCUGCUUCAAAAUCUCCCUGGAAACUCAUCCCUGCACCUGCAGCCUCUUCUGGUAACUACAGCCUAUUCAUCAUGUUAUAUUAGUGGAUAAUAGGGAUAGGAAACAAGUUCUCCUAGCAUUUAUAAAUUAAAAAACCCAAUGUUUUGGGUACUGAAACAUACAGGGUGGUAUGGGACAUACCACAUUGACCUGGUAUGUUACCAAUAUCAGUACGGAUUUGGGGUUAUACCCCAUUACACACACAUGCUACAAGUGCUUUGCUGACUUCAACAUUGUACAAUUUGUCAGUAUUGGGGAUGUACUGUAUCAUAUUGGACUACACCUGUAACGUACGGUUACUCAACCUAGUGCUAAAACUUAAGUUGUUGAAAGAAGCUAUAUACAAAUGAAGAAGGAUAAGCCAGUUCCAUUGUGUUAUAAGCCAUCCUUUUCUUCUGUAGUAUAUCUUAUGUUUUGACACAAUGACAUGGCAUUUGUUGUUUUGGGUUAGCCACCUAAGAGCUAACAUCUCUACCAGGCUUGAGCAUGCAGUAUUUGUAUUUUCCUUGGAUGCCUUCAUUUGCCAUCAAUUCAUCUCAUCCUAGAAAUUGGUUCAUAUUGGUAUUGGAAACUUGCCAGCCCUUGCUAUCUCAGGUGAAGUAAAGCAGCAUGUCCUCAGACAUCAACUGAUGCUCAACAUAUUGGACUUGAUUUUUUUUUCUUAUUUUUCAGUAAACAAUCUUAAUGGGUAUUUAAAUAUUGAAUGUCAAAGCUGAUGUCUUAAAGUAGUAGUUAAUCCCAGUUUCUAUAUAUCAGCCAAGAACUAGGACUCUCUUGCUGCUUACCAAAUUGUCCCAGUUUUCCAUCUUGACUGAGAUAAACUGAGAUCUUGGUACAUCUUGGUUCCAGCCACCCAGUGAGAUGAACGAAAUGCAUUUUAGAAACCUUGUCAAUUAACUCUUCAUUUUAUAAAUGUUGUUGUCUUAUUCAGAUGCUUUACCUAAGAGAUUGCUGUAUGCUUCCCUGUUUACAUGCAUUAAUUUUCUUACUUGACCAGCAGUUUAAUGUGUUGUAGCUUUUUCAUUUUGUCCUUUGCAAACUAAGCAUUUACGCUUAUUUCUAAGAUGACAAUCUAGUAUAUGGCAUUGGUGAAGAAAUCCAUACUCAGAAUAUUUUCUCUGAUCUUUACAUUAACUGGGUGUGGCUAAUAGUUUAAAUGUCUAAUUUUUGUGGCUUGGUUGUCUAUCUACCACCUUUCAUGUUUGUCACUUUUAGUUGAAAUUCAAUGCCAAGAUUUGAUUUGUUUAUCUCCAUAAUAGAAAAUAUUUCAGGUUUGCUUUGAGGAAGGCUGUAUAUCUUGUUCAAAGUGAUGUAUUUGAAGGUCGGUUUCUUGAAACAACCAGAUUUGUGAUCUAAAACCUUUUAGUUUGCAGGUUGAGAGCUUUCUGAAUCUUCUAUGCUUGCCUGGCUCUAAGAGAAUCUCUUAUCUGUCUCUAAGGGAACCUCUUAUCUGUCAUGAUUCUAACAAAACAUUUGGCUCCCAUGAGCUUGAUGUAUAUCUUAUGUUAUACAUCAACAUAUGCUCUUAAAUUGGUUUGAAUCAUCAGGUAAAUCAUUCCUUAUUUGCUUUUACUCAGGUUUUAUCAUGCAUAUUUACAUACAAUGCUAAGAAACUCAUAUAAAUGGGCAAAUGGAGUUUUAGAAUGUCUGUAUUGUAUAAUGAGAAUAAUUUAGUCGGUGUUAUUAAUCAUUUGAUUGAUUGUCAACUGAUUCAAAUUCUAAGUAGUAAGAAAGAGAAAAUUUAUAAAGAACCAUGAAAAAUAGAUCUUUUCAUGUGGAAAGAGUUUUAAUCAGAUGGAGGUUUUUGUCUAAAUGAUGUAGUCAAAAUCUUGUAUAUAUCAUUUCCAAACCCUGUGAAGGGAACAUGUGCAAAUGGAUUUUUUAAUUGACUUUUGCAAGGAUUAGAGAUUAGAGUAGUAGUAUUUUAACUUUUCUAUGUUAAAUGGGCAUGUAGUUCUCAACUUCUUCUUUCAAUGCUUUCCUUUGCCAUUCCUGCUUUGUUUUUGCUUCUGUGCUGAAAGUUUCACUUGUACUUUUAAGUUAAAUGCAUGCAAAUCAUUUUACUUUUUGCACGGGACAUUCCUUGCUCACACGAAUAAAUGUUUGCAAGUUCUUUGUUCUUAUACUUAUUGCUUGAAUCUCUUAAAAAAUUGUUAGCUUGUAAUUUCCAGACAUAGGUCAUAUCUCAUUGAUUUGUGCAUAAGCCUGGUUGCAAAGAAGCUGGAAAUGAUAUUUAAUUAUCUCGCAUAUAAUUGAUUUCAUCAUGAAAAAGUAGCUCCAGUCAUUUUGAUGAUCCAUCUUUUGAUAUUGUAUUGCCCAUCAUCAUAAUUAUACUUUUCUUUUUAAAGUUUUAUUAUCAUAAUGCUAUGAUAUACCCUUAUCUCAGCUGUGACUAUCUUAUACACAUAUAGAAUGUACUUUUCUUUUGGAGACAAAAACAUAGUGUUUAAUCUAUAUAUAAACAUUUGCAGCAUGUGAUGUACAUUGGUGGACUCUUAUGCAACGUCUCGGGGGAGACUGUCAGAUAUAUAAACUUUCCUUUAACUUGUUUGGAAUCUUUAUAGCUCAAGUUUGCGCCUGCCUUGUAGCACUAUGUAAAACACCUGUGGUCAAUGCUGUCUGCCUGUUUCUUACCACUGAUCUGGAGAGUUUAUGCCGCUAAUUUCUUCCAUGGAUAUGUAAACCAGGCCGCAUACAUAAUCCUCCGAUAUUAUGUGUAGUGGGAGAUAAGUAUCUCUUGUUUUCCUACUUUUGACUGAUUUGGAAUAUCGGUUUUAACGUCUGCUUGUUGGUUUUGAAGUUCAUUUUCUGGGUACAUGUGCAAAUUUUUGAUUGUGAUAACAGAAAUUGUUUGCUAUCGGUUGCAUUCUAGAGUGUUAAAUUAUAGCCUAUAAUAAUAUGGAUAGUGAAAUUAUGUUUCCAACGGAUCAAUUGUCAGCUUUUAUGUCAAUUUGCUCAUUAGUAUAGGCACGGCAUAUUCAUUUCUUGGAUGCAAAAAUUUUAGUGAUGACACGAUAUUUUUCACAUGUAACCAUGAAUCUUGAUUUUGGUGGAGCAAUUCCAAUUCAUUGCGAUGCAACUUUUUGCCCACUCUUACCCAUUUGCCUUCUGUACUUUCAUCGGUGCCUUGCGGAAUCAUGCUAUACUAAUACAAGGCUACGACAUUGUUGGUCCCGUGAUGCAAAUGAAAAGAAGGAAACCAUGUUUACCGGAAGACAAACGGUGCUGCAAAAUGGAUUGCGGCCUUCGUUGUUAGGCACUCAAAGAUGGUGGUCUUGAUUGAGCUGGAGUCUACUUCGACAGGCUUUUGGGAUGUUGUACUCUUUGAUUUUUUUUGUUGUAUUCAUGCUCGUGUAGUGUCUACGGGGAACCAAAGGGUUGAGAAAUGAAAGAAAAAGGUCAGGUUAAGAAAAGAACCUGGAAUAUCCAUCGGA